rnacentral:misc_RNA from 1 species
AAAGUCGUAACAAGGUUUCCGUAGGUGAACCUGCGGAAGGAUCAUUAGUGGGCUUGUCAUUAGUGGACUUGUAUUAACCACAAACACCUGUGAACUGUGGGUGCGUGCUUGGGCGCGCGCUUUUACAAACGACGAAUGUAACAAAUGUGUAUUAGCAACUAAGAAAACUUUCAACAACGGAUCUCUUGGCUCUC